AAGUCGUAACAAGGUUUCCGUAGGUGAACCUGCGGAAGGAUCAUUAACACGUAUCCACGUUUAUCUACCUACCGCGAACUGUUUUCACCCCUCCCUCUCGCUGCACAAUGAAUUGAACCGACUUUCAGCUCUUUUUCAGUUUUCAUUAACUGAGGAACGGUUUUGAGGCGGCCAACUGUACUAGGAGAAAUCCUGGUCGACGAUUGGAUGUGUUUGCGUUGAGGACAACCAAACCUAUAAAUUAACCUAUUUCACCCCCCUUUUUGCUAGUUGACUUUUUAAUAUGUUGUUCCUCUUCCUCACCGGAGUGGUUCACACGUUUAAUUAUUUGAACGUUAAAAAAUACAACUCUUAGCAAUGGAUAUCUUGGUUCUC
rnacentral:misc_RNA from 1 species